rnacentral:rRNA from 1 species
GAUGAACGCUAGCGGCAGGCUUAAUACAUGCAAGUCGAGGGGCAGCGCAGUGUAGCAAUACAUGGGCGGCGACCGGCAAACGGGUGCGGAACACGUACACAACCUUCCUACAAGUGGGGAAUAGCCCAGAGAAAUUUGGAUUAAUACCCCGUAACAUAGCGAUGUGGCAUCACAUUGCUAUUAUAGCUUCGGCGCUUGUUGAUGGGUGUGCGGCUGAUUAGAUAGUUGGCGGGGUAACGGCCCACCAAGUCUACGAUCAGUAGCUGAUGUGAGAGCAUGAUCAGCCACACGGGCACUGAGACACGGGCCCGACUCCUACGGGAGGCAGCAGUAAGGAAUAUUGGACAAUGGACGCAAGUCUGAUCCAGCCAUGCCGCGUGAAGGAUUAAGGUCCUCUGGAUUGUAAACUUCUUUUAUAAGGGACGAAAAAAGGUCUUUCUAGAUCGUCUGACGGUACCUUAUGAAUAAGCACCGGCUAACUCCGUGCCAGCCGCCGCAGUAAGAC